rnacentral:rRNA from 1 species
UUAAUGUAAUUUCGAAACAUAUAACCAAUGGACGAGCAAGUGGAAGCUCAUUGAAAGAAUGCAUCAAAGAGGGUGAACAUCCAUUUUGUCACUUGUAAUGUUGUGUGCACGGUGUAUGCUUUAUGAGUCACAUUCCUUGGCAUUGGAAUGCAAUGUGGGUGGUAAAUUUCAUGCAAGGAACAAUAUGCUAUUGAGAUUGAUAGCAAACAAGUACCAUGAGGGAAAUAUGANAAGGACUUUGAAAAAACAUUUAAAAGAGUUUGCAGUUGCUGAACAUGAAACAAACAGAAUGUGUGGCGUUGAGCAGAUUGUUGUGUUUUUGUGUGUUUUCUUAGCCUGCAAAACUUCGAUGGUUCUGCUUGGGGUGUUGUCAUGACUAUCUUAUUCAAACGUGACAAUUGUGCAUGCAUGGUGUUUUGCUUGUGGGCAUACCUAAUGGGUGUUUGAAGUGUUUGUGUUAAGUG